UACGGAGGGUGCAAGCGUUAUCCGGAUUCACUGGGUUUAAAGGGUGCGUAGGUGGGUUGGUAAGUCAGUGGUGAAAUCCCCGAGCUUAACUUGGGAACUGCCAUUGAUACUAUCAGUCUUGAAUAUUGUGGAGGUUAGCGGAAUAUGUCAUGUAGCGGUGAAAUGCUUAGAUAUGACGUAGAACACCAAUUGCGAAGGCAGCUGGCUACGCAUAUAUUGACACUGAGGCACGAAAGCGUGGGGAUCAAACAGG
rnacentral:rRNA from 1 species